rnacentral:tRNA from 1 species
UGUGGCUUAGUGGAGAGCGCUUGCCUAGCAUGCAAGAGGCCCUGGGUUCAAUUCCUCAGUA